AACGCACAUUGCGCCCCCUGGUAUUCCGGGGGGCAUGCCUGUCCGAGCGUCAUUGCUGCCCUCAAGCCCGGCUUGUGUGUUGGGCCCCGUCCUCCGAUUCCGGGGGACGGGCCCGAAAGGCAGCGGCGGCACCGCGUCCGGUCCUCGAGCGUAUGGGGCUUUGUCACCCGCUCUGUAGGCCCGGCCGGCGCUUGCCGAUCAACCCAAAUUUUUAUCCAGGUUGACCUCGGAUCAGGUAGGGAUACCCGCUGAACUUAA
rnacentral:misc_RNA from 1 species